rnacentral:lncRNA from 1 species
UGGGGCUAGCCUCCUGCUAAGUGAAUCUUUGUUUCAAAUAGUAACAAGAUUUUUGAUCUAUGCAUCUCUUGGGUAUCUUUGCAUUCUGGCUGACAAUUCUAACAAGCUUUCAUAUAUGAUAGCAAUAGGUCAUUUUAGCUCUUUGCUUUUUUAGUCCACAGUGUGCAAUAUUUCAGAAGAGUAGAGAGAGCUUCUCCCUUCCAACAUUCAUUUCAAUACUUGGUAGUGGAGGAAAACAUGACUGAUCUUGUGAAACUGAAUUUCCCAUCACUGUACUAUCACUGUAUCUGAGGUUGCUCAGGGUGCUCCUUAUCUGUGUUCACAAGAAGUGAAUUUGCAUGCCAACAAUUUUGGAAACUGUAAAACUAGUUCCUAUAAUUUCGAGUACACAUUUUUAAACGUGUACAUUUUUCUAACGUUGGUAUGUGUGUGUGUAUUUCAGAGGGUCACUUAAUACAAAUGAGAGAUGUAGCAUAUACAGACGUGUCCUUUGUGCAAAGCUAGUUUGUCACUGGAAAAGUACAGAACUAAUACGACAUAAAGAUGAUGAUGCUUAAUAUACUUACCUUGGAAACCAUGUAUGUGUGUCUACAUUUUUACGAAAUUCAUGUGGUAGCAUAAAGGAUAACUCCUAUGUAAAAAAUGGUACUUUUUGUGGUCUAGAAAAGUUAUGUGAUAAUGGAGUUUGCCAACUUGUGAGCACAUAUGCAGAUAGAAGACAAGGUAACUCGGAAGAAAAAUGCGGUGGACAUGGGGAAAAAGUACACCCUUGUUUGUGAAAUGACAUGCUGUUCCUCAGAAAAACGGCCUUUAAUCAGUUGCUACAUUUUUCUACCUUUCCUCAUUUUAACUGCCAUCAUUGGUCUUAAAUGGAACAAAAUGAAGAGAUUUUGGCACUGAGCAAAAAGUGUAAGUGGAAGAAGACAGCAGUAGUAGCAGCAACAGUAACAGCAGUAGUGACAGCAACCAGUCAUAGAGUAACUACAUGAUAACAUCAAAAGCCAUAAGAUAGAGAAAGGAUAUUACCAAGAAACUUACCAUUAACUGGCUUGAUUCAACAAUGAAAACAAAAAUCGCCUUUUUUCUCCUUUCAUUAUGGCUUAAAGCUUUCAAUUGCACAAACAAAAUAAAUUCUAUGACAGGAA